rnacentral:sRNA from 4 species
AUUCUACCCAUGCGGGGAAGGAUGAGAAGCUUCGACUAAGGUUCGAUUCGAGCGAAAGCGAGAAAGCGUUGCCAACGGCAACGACCCGAAGGGCGAAGCGCGCAGCGCUGAGUCAUCCUUCCCCCACCACCA